GGUCCGGUAGCUCAGGGGAUAGAGCACGAGAUUCCUAAUCUCGGUGUCGCAGGUUCGAAUCCUGCUCGGAUCACCA
rnacentral:tRNA from 2 species